AGGAGGAAAAAUUCUGAGAAUUCGAGUUUUGGUUGCUUAAGAUUGGUUGUCAAUCGAGGGUAAAGGAAGAGAGGUUGUUGCUGAGGAAUUAUUUGAGGAAGGGGAUACGGCCACGAGCUGAAUGGGACGGUGAUUCGAAGGAAGGAGAGGUUGAAGACGAGCGCGUGAAGGACACGCGAGGCGCGUGGGAGGCCGCGAGUGGAAGUGCGACUGUGCGCGGAUCAGGCGCGUGAGAAACGAACCCCGAUCUUGUGUUGGCGCGUGAAGGCGCGUGAUCAGGUCUAAUACGAAGGAAUUGUGUUGGAAUACUAUUAAACGUACAUUCAAGGGGGAAAAGGAGUUCGAAACCAAGUAAGUAGUAUAUCGAUCUUUGAACUAGUUCUUAACUUGUUUUACAACAUGUGAGUAUGUUGUUU